UGGGGAAUAUUGCGCAAUGGAGGGGAACCCUGACGCAGCCAUGCCGCGUGAAUGAAGAAGGCCUUAGGGUUGUAAAGUUCUUUCGGUAUUGAGGAAGGUUGAUGUGUUAAUAGCACAUCAAAUUGACGUUAAAUACAGAAGAAGCACCUGCUAACUCCGUGCCAGCAGCCGCGGUAAUACGGAGGGUGCGAGCGUUAAUCGGAAUAACUGGGCGUAAAGGGCACGCAGGCGGUUAUUUAAGUGAGGUGUGAAAGCCCCGGGCUUAACCUGGGAAUUGCAUUUCAGACUGGGUAACUAGAGUACUUUAGGGAGGGGUAGAAUUCCACGUGUAGCGGUGAAAUGCGUAGAGAUGUGGAGGAAUACCGAAGGCGAAGGCAGCCCCUUGGGAAUGUACUGACGCUCAUGUGCGAAAGCGUGGGGAGCAAACAGGAUUAGAUACCCUGGUAGUCCACGCUGUAAACGCUGUCGAUUUGGGGGGUGGGGUUUAACUCUGGCGCCCGUAGCUAACGUGAUAAAUCGACCGCCUGGGGAGUACGGCCGCAAGGUUA
rnacentral:rRNA from 1 species